rnacentral:rRNA from 1 species
UACGUAGGGUGCAAGCGUUAAUCGGAAUUACUGGGCGUAAAGCGUGCGCAGGCGGUUAUGCAAGACAGAUGUGAAAUCCCCGGGCUUAACCUGGGAACUGCAUUUGUGACUGCAUAGCUGGAGUACGGCAGAGGGGGAUGGAAUUCCGCGUGUAGCAGUGAAAUGCGUAGAUAUGCGGAGGAACACCGAUGGCGAAGGCAGUCCCCUGGGCCUGUACUGACGCUCAUGCACGAAAGCGUGGGGAGCAAACAGG